GAUGAACGCUGGCGGCGUGCUUAACACAUGCAAGUCGAACGGAAAGGCUACUGCUUGCCGGGGUACUCGAGUGGCGAACGGGGGAGAAACACGUGGGUGAUCUCCCCCGAACAUCGGGAUAAGCCUGGGAAACUGGGUCUCAUACAGGAUAGGAUGAUGUUUAGCAUGCCAUUGUGGAAAGUAAUUUCGGUGUGGGAUGAGCUCGCGCCGCAUCAGCUUGUUGGUGGGGUAAUGGUCUAGCAAGGCAUUGACGAGUAGCCGGAGUGAGAGGGUGAUCGGCCACCCUGGAACUGAGACACGGUCCAGAGUCCUACGGGAGGCAGCAGUAGGGAAUCUUACGCAAUGGGCGAAAGCAUGACGGAGCAACGCCGAGUGAGAGAUGAAGGUCUUCGGAUCGUAAAAAUCUGUUACUAGGGAAGAACAACUGUGUAAGUAAAUAUGCCCGUAGUGACGGUACCUAAUCAGAAAGCCCCGGCUAACUACGUG
rnacentral:rRNA from 1 species